AUCGUCCAAUAUAACAUAAACGAAGUUAGUGGGGAAAAAAUUGAAGGCGUUUUCAAAUUUUUAUAGAGUUUUGAUCGAUAGUAUAUCUAACUUGGCUCCGGGAAACUCGACGGAGAAAGUUUUGGGAAACUUGCCAAAAAAAAAGAUGUAAAAUAUAUAAUUUGUAAAAAUGA